GACGAGGUAGAUAGGUUGGAGGUGGAAGUGCAGCAAUGCAUGGAGCUGACCAAUACUAAUCGGUCGAGGGCUUAUCCUAAUAACUA
rnacentral:rRNA from 1 species